GUAGGGACCAAGCGUUGUUCGGAUUUACUGGGCGUAAAGGGCGCGUAGGCGGCGUGUUAAGUCAGCUGUGAAAUCUCCGAGCUUAACUCGGAACGGUCAGCUGAUACUGAUGUGCUAGAGUGCAGAAGGGGCAAUCGGAAUUCUUGGUGUAGCGGUGAAAUGCGUAGAUAUCAAGAGGAACACCUGAGGUGAAGACGGGUUGCUGGGCUGACACUGACGCUGAUGCGCGAAAGCCAGGGGAGCAAACGGGAUUAGAUACCCCGGUAGUCCUGGCCCUAAACGAUGAAUACUUGGUGUCUGGAGUUAUUACUGCUCCGGGUGCCGUCGCUAACGUUUUUAGUAUUCCGCCUGGGGAGUACGCACGCAAGUGUG
rnacentral:rRNA from 1 species